rnacentral:rRNA from 1 species
UACAGAGGGGGCAAGCGUUGUUCGGAAUUACUGGGCGUAAAGGGCUGGUAGGCGGCCAACUAAGUCGGAUGUGAAAUCCCCAGGCUUAACCUGGGAACUGCAUCCGAUACUGGUCGGCUUGAACGUCCGGGAGAGGAUGCAGAAUUCCACGUGUAGCAGUGAAAUGCGUAGAUAUGUGGAGGAACACCGAUGGCGAAGGCAGCCCCCUGGGAUGUGACUGACGCU